UACAGAGGGUGCGAGCGUUGUCCGGAAUCACUGGGCGUAAAGGGCGCGUAGGCGGUGGGAUAAGCGUGUGGUGAAAGCCCGGGGCUCAACCCCGGGUCGGCCGUGCGAACUGUUCCACUUGAGCACCGUAGAGGCAGAUGGAAUUCCGGGUGUAGCGGUGGAAUGCGUAGAGAUCCGGAAGAACACCGGUGGCGAAGGCGGUCUGCUGGGCGGUAGCUGACGCUGAGGCGCGACAGCGUGGGGAGCAAAC
rnacentral:rRNA from 1 species